rnacentral:rRNA from 1 species
UACGUAGGGUGCAAGCGUGUCCGGAAUUAUUGGGCGUAAAGAGCUCGUAGGCGGUUUGUCGCGUCUGCUGUGAAAACUCGGGGCUUAACCCCGGGCCUGCAGUGGGUACGGGCAGACUAGAGUGCGGUAGGGGAGACUGGAAUUCCUGGUGUAGCGGUGAAAUGCGCAGAUAUCAGGAGGAACACCGGUGGCGAAGGCGGGUCUCUGGGCCGUAACUGACGCUGAGGAGCGAAAGCGUGGGGAGCGAACAGG